rnacentral:rRNA from 1 species
GACGAACGCUGGCGGCGUGCUUAACACAUGCAAGUCGUACGGUAAGGCCCUUUCGGGGGUCCACGAGUGGCGAACGGGUGAGUAACACGUGAGUAACCUGCCCACAACUUUGGGAUAACGCUAGGAAACUGGUGCUAAUACUGGAUAUGUGCUCCUGCUGCAUGGUGGGGGUUGGAAAGCUCCGGCGGUUGUGGAUGGACUCGCGGCCUAUCAGCUUGUUGGUGGGGUAGUGGCCUACCAAGGCGGCGACGGGUAGCCGGCCUGAGAGGGUGACCGGCCACAUUGGGACUGAGAUACGGCCCAGACUCCUACGGGAGGCAGCAGUGGGGAAUAUUGCACAAUGGGCGCAGGCCUGAUGCAGCAACGCCGCGUGCGGGAUGACGGCCUUCGGGUUGUAAACCGCUUUCAGCAGGGACGAAGCUUUUUGUGACGGUACCUGCAGAAGAAGCACCGGCUAACUACGUG